ACGCAGCAGGGCUCCUGGUCAGCAGAAAAGCACGUUAGAAGGGCCAGGGAGAGGGGACGCCACCCGCCCCACGGCCUUGUGUGCGGGAGGAUGGAACCAGGGAGGUCCCGGCUCCGCCCCCCCCCCAGAGCCCCCAGGCCCAGGGGACCCGCUCGGCGCCUCGCCCUUUGUGUCACUUGGCUCUUCUGACUGCUGGAACGGAGGACAAAGGAGAGCCUUGGUGCUGGCAGAAGCCCGGGGCACGGCUGGGUUUUACAAGGAAGGGAGAAAUUCGAUCCCAGCAAUCUGGAUGGAUCACCGUUGCUGUCUCUGUGGUGACCCAAUUCUGGGACCAGCCGCUUGGCUCUGAACACACAAGUAUCACCAUCCCAGCUCGCACCCCGGCCUUGCCAGAGAGGUGAGAUCCCUCGCCCUGGGCUCUGCAUACAGCAGGCUAAUUCCGCCUAGAAAAGAAGACAGCUCUGUUAUAUUCCUCUGGGACCCUCUCGUGCGCCUGCUGCGGUGCCACUCCCAUACCAAGAGCGUGGAGAGCACCUGCCCUGCCUGUUGGCCGCCAUGAUGGAAGAAACCAUUCAACUCCACUUCAGCCCUCAGUGUCCACGUGAAACAACCGUUAGAUAGUCUCCAGACCUGCUUGACUUGUAGUCCCACUCACCAAAGUGGCUUUAUUCUUCACCGCUGUGAUUCGGGCACAUCUCUGAAGUUUUCUCCCCUCUAAGAUAGUAGACAUAAUAGUAACCACCCCAUAGUGUUAUUAUAAGGAUUAAAUAAGAUAAUACAGAUCAAACAUGGAACACCAUGUACCAAUACUAGGUGCCCAAUUAAUGUUAGUUAUUAUUCUUGUUUAGUGUUAGUAUCAACCACAAGAGGUUAUGACUGCCAUCUUGUUCAACCACAUACCCAUGCUUGCAUCUCUUUUGAAACACUCAACCAAGCAUUCAGACGUUUUCAGAGUGAGACAUACUUCCUCAUGAAGCAGCCCCGUCCACCUUUGGACAACUCUGACUACUGCAAAGCACAUCUUUGUGUUGGAAAUGAAGUCUGCCUCCAGGGAGCUUAGUUCUCCUCCUUAAAGCCAUAAGUCUGAUUUCCCUUCCUCAAUGUGCGACCGCAAU